rnacentral:rRNA from 1 species
UACAGAGGCCUCAAGCGUUGUUCGGAUUCAUUGGGCGUAAAGGGUGCGCAGGCGGUCGGGUAAGUCGGAUGUGAAAUCCUGGGGCUCAACCUCAGAACUGCAUUCGAUACUGCCUGGCUAGAGGAUUGGAGAGGAGAGUGGAAUUCACGGUGUAGCAGUGAAAUGCGUAGAGAUCGUGAGGAAGACCAACGGCGAAGGCAGCUCUCUGGACAAU